UCCUUUCUAUUGAUGGGUGUAGGAGCUGCAGGAAUGGAAAUAACCCAAGGCAUCCUGUUAUCAAGGAGGUGGAGCAACCAACUUCUCCCUGAAUAACUGGGAGAUGACACAGGAAGCUACAUGUCACAGUUGAUCGAAAAUGACAUAGACACUGAAAAUCAGGACUUUCAGCCCAACUCUGAGCUCCUUGUUGAAUGGUGAUCACAAUCAGGAGAAAUGCAAAUGCAAAAAAAAAAAAAGAAAGAAAGAAAAGAAAAAUGAAAAAAAAAAACCCUGAAAAAUAAAGAAUAAAAAGUUUAUCCCCAGGAUUGGGGCUAGUGAAUUUACACUGUGCAGUUUUACUUGUGAUAUUAGCAUAGUAUCUCAGGCAUGGGCUCUUCUGGUUGUAUUUGUUCAUCUGCCCAGAGUUAUUUGUGUCUUAAUUCUCUCUUCCAUGAUCAAAAGCAAAACGAAAGAAAA